rnacentral:rRNA from 1 species
GUGAGGAAUAUUGGUCAAUGGACGAGAGUCUGAACCAGCCAAGUCGCGUGAAGGAAGACGGUUCUAUGAAUUGUAAACUUCUUUUGUGCAGGAAUAAAGUGGGUUACGUGUAACCUUUUGUAUGUACUGUACGAAUAAGGAUCGGCUAACUCCGUGCCAGCAGCCGCGGUAAUACGGAGGAUCCGAGCGUUAUCCGGAGUUAUUGGGUUUAAAGGGUGCGUAGGUGGAUUGAUAAGUCAGCGGUGAAAGUUUGCAGCUUAACUGUAAAAUUGCCGUUGAAACUGUCGGUCUUGAGUGCAAAUGAGGUAGGCGGAAUGUGUUGUGUAGCGGUGAAAUGCUUAGAUAUAACACAGAACUCCGAUUGAGAAGGCAGCUUACUGGGAUGCAACUGACACUGAUGCACGAAAGCGUGGGUAUCAAACAGGAUUAGAUACCCCAGUAGUCC